GGUUCGAUCAUGGCUCAGAUUGAACGCUGGCGGAUGCUUUACACAUGCAAGUCGAACGGCAGCACGGACUUCGGUCUGGUGGCGAGUGGCGAACGGGUGAGUAGCCGUAUCGGAACGUGCUCAGUAGUGGGGAUGGUGCUGCAGCUAAUACCGCAUACUGCCCUUCGGGGAAAGCGGGGGACCUUCGGGCCCUGGUACUAUUAGGAGCGGCCGAUAUCGGAUUAGCUAGUUAUGGGUAACGGCUCACCAAGGCUAUGACGAUCCGCAGCUGGUUUGAGAGGACGACCAGCCACACUGGGACUGAGACACGGCCCAGACUCCUACGGGAGGCAGCAGUGGGGAAUUUUGGAUUACCGGGGAAACUGAUCCAGCCAUCCCGCGUGUGCGAUGAAGGCUUCGGGUUGUAAAGCACUUUUGGCAGGAAAGAAACGCACGGGAUAAUACCCUGUGCAACUGACGGUACCUGCAGAAUAAAGCACCGGCUAACUACGUGCCAGCAGCCAUGGUAAUAUGCAGGUGCAAGGCAGACCGAAUGGCUGGCGUGAAGCGUGCGCAGGCGGUUCGGAAAGAAAGAUGUGAAAUCCCAGAGCUUAACUUUGGAACUGUAUUUUAAUCACCGAGCUAGAGUGUGUCAGAGGGAGGUGGAAUUCGCGUGUAGCAGUGAAAUGCGUAGAUAUGCGGAGGAACACCGAUGGCGAAGGCAGCCUCUGGGAUAACACUGACGCCUGCGCACGAAAGCGUGGGAGCAAACAGGAUUAGAUACCCUGGUAGUCCACGCCCUAAACGAUGUCAAACUAGCUGUUGGGGCCUUCGGGCUCUGGUAGCGCAGCUAACGCGUGAAGUUGACCGCUCUGGGAGUACGAAGCCGCAAGAUUAAAACUCAAAGGAAUUGACGGGGACUCCGCACAAGCGGUGGAUGAUGUGGAUUAAUUGAUGCAACGCGAAAAACCUUACCUACCCUUGACAUGUCUGGAAUCCCGAAGAGAUUUGGGAGUGCUCGCAAGAGAACCGAACACAGGUGCUGCAUGGCUGUCGUCAGCUCGUGUCGUGAGAUGUUGCUGGAGUCCCGCAACGAGCGCAACCUCUUGUCAGUUAGUUGCUACGAAAGGGCGACUUAAUGAGACUGCCGGUGACAAACUGAGAAGGUGGGGAUGACGUCAAGUCCUCGCGGUCUCUUGCGGCAGGGCUUCACAAUGUCAUACAAUGGUCGGGACAGAGGGUCGCCAACCCGCGAGGGGGAGCCAAUCCCAGAAACCCGAUCGUAGCCUGAUCGUAGUCUGCAACUCGACUGCGUAAAGCCGGAAUCGCUAGUAAUCGCGGAUCAGCAUGUCGCGGUGAAUACGUUCCCGGGUCUGUACACACUGCCUGUCACACUAUGGGAGUGGGUUUUACCAGAAGUAGUUAGCCUAACCGUAAGGAGGGGGUGAUUACCACGGUAGGAUUCAUGACUGGGGUGAAGUCGUAACAAGGUAA
rnacentral:rRNA from 1 species